UACGGGGGGAGCAAGCGUUGUUCGGAUUUACUGGGCGUAAAGGGCGCGUAGGCGGCCAGCGCAAGUCGGUUGUGAAAUCUCCGGGCUUAACUCGGAAAGGUCAACUGAUACUGCGCGGCUAGAGUGCAGAAGGGGCAACUGGAAUUCUCGGUGUAGCGGUGAAAUGCGUAGAUAUCGAGAGGAACGCCUGCGGCGAAGGCGGGUUGCUGGGCUGACACUGACGCUGAGUGCGCGAAGGCCAGGGGAGCGAACGGG
rnacentral:rRNA from 1 species